rnacentral:rRNA from 1 species
UUAGGGAGUUUAUCUGUAGUGCGAGUCUUUGCACGUUAACUGUAAAGGCGUAGAGAAAGCAACUGGCGUUUGCAUGGCUACUGAGCAUUACUGAUAGGACCCGAAAGGUGGUGAACUUUGCCUGCACAGGUUGAAGUCAGGGGAAACUCUGAUGGAGGACCGUACGGGUUAUUGAUGUGCAAAUCAUUUUUCUGAUGUAGGUAAAGGUGCGAAAGACUCAUCGAACCACCUAAUAGCUGGUUUCCUCCGAAGUUUCCCUCAGGAUAGCUGUAAUGCAUUUAGUUAAGGGGAGUAGAGAUAUGGGUAGAGGUGCAGGGAGCCUUCGGGUUCUCAACUUAUUUCCAAACUUCGAACCUCCUUGUUAGGCAUUUACCUAACUGGAAAUGCUUAAAUGAAUUAGCGUUACAAGUGGGCUCUGACCGGUAAGCGGUCAUGGCGAAAUGGGAUGAACCAUACGUCUGAAUAAGGUGCCGAAAUGUACUAUCACUGAUACCAUAAAGGGAGUCCAUGUAUUUAGACAGCAGGUCGGUGCCCCUAAAAGCAGGUAUCCGCUAAAGAGUGUGUUAAAACUCACCUGCCGAAUACUAGGGCCCCGAAAAUGAAUGGCGCAUAUAGUACUACCUAUCUCAGACAUCAGUUCUAUUGAACUGAGAGUAGGGGGAUGUGGACAUUUUUGUGAAGGUGCAAUGUGAGUUGGACUGGAAGAAUGUCUAUUACAGAUCCUAAUUGAAGUAGCGAUUAUCCAGGCUUGUAUCCUGGGGGCUGAUGAGGAGUAGGGUUUCUGGACAACUUAAACAGAUCCAGAGUUAGUCGAUCCUAAUCUCAAUAAUGGGAGAAAGGGAGUACAGUUGAUAUUCUGUAACUGACAACAGUUCGCGGCAACGCAUACUAUUUUUCUCCGCCAAUCUUAUACCGUUGGUAGGGAUCUCUUUCCUACAUGACAGUACUAAUACCCAGGGAAACUGGUCAUCAGGCGAACUGCGGCGUUCUGCUGGCAAAACAUAGCUUCGGUUAUGUCAAUGGCUAUUGGAUUGGUCCAUGAAGCGAAAAAUAGUUUACUGUGUCACUCGUACCGAUAACCGCAUCAGGUCUUCUAGGUAAGUAGCCUAUGGCCAUUGAGGCAUGAUAGUUCAGGGAAUUCGGCCAAUUAGAGCUGUAACUUCGGGAUAAAGCUUGGCUCUGAUGAAAAUCAGAACCGAUUGUUACGCGGAGAGCCCAACUGUUUAAUAAAAACGUAGUGUCGCGCUGUGGUAGUAUAGCCAGUGAACGCGACAUGAAUCCUGCUCAGUGCUGUGUCUGUUAAUAUGGUUCAAGCCAACGAAGCACCGGUAAAUAGCUGGGGUAACUAUGACUCUUAUCAAAGUAGCGAAAUACCUCGUCACUUAAUUAGUGACCUGCAUGAACGGAGCUAUGAGGUUCUCACUGUCCCAGACUGUCUCUCAGCGAACCAACUGUAGUGGGAACGGUCACUAGAUAUCCAGCGGGGAAAGAAGACCCUGUAGAGCUUCACUUUGGUCUAGUCUUGUAUAGUUCCUGCGGGGGUGUAGACUAGGUGGGAGAGCAAUCGAUUCUGAAAAACCACUACCCUGUUUGGAAUUAUGCUUACCUAUCACAAGGAAUAGGACUAGAUAGAAAGUUUGGCUGGGGCGGCACACCUUCAAAAGAGCAGCGAAGGUGUCCUAAGUUGAGCUCAGUGAGGACAGAAAUCUCACGUUGAGGAUAAGGCCAAAAGCUCAAUUUACUGUGCCUUUUUGUACUAGGAUCAGUUACGAAAGUAAGGCCUAACGAUCCCUAAAUAGCCUCAGGUGCGUGAGGAUUGGGGUGACAGACAAGUUACCUCCGGGACAACUGGCUUGUGGCUGCUAAGAGAUCAAAUCAACGCAGCUUUUUGAUUCUUCGAUGUCGGCUCUUCCUAUCCUAGUGAUGUACAAGUUGCUAAGGGUCGGAUUGUUCACCCGUAUUAGGGAUCGUGAGCUGGGUUUAGACCGUCGUGAGCCAGGUUUGUUUUAUCCUACUGGAUAUAGCAUCAUGAUAGUAGAUUGAUUUAGUACGAGAGGAACUGUUGAUUAUGGCCUCUGGUUAGCGAUUAUCGGAAACGGUAUGUCGCGCAGCUACGCCGUCUGGGAUAAUGGCUGAAAGCCUCUUAAGCCAGAAGCCCAUCUAGAAAGUGAUGCACGUGAUGUUGGACCGAUACGAAUAAUCAUACUCAAAAGGUCCGCUUCAUAGGUAACCCAAUGUAGAAGACAUUGUGUGAACGAAGGUACUGUAAGCAGUGGAGUGGCAUUACGUCCACGACCUGUUGAGGUUCAGCUUCGCUUCUAGGUUUCCAAAUAUUUU